CCUACGGGAGGCAGCAGUGGGGAAUAUUGGGCAAUGGGCGCAAGCCUGACCCAGCAACGCCGCGUGAAGGAAGAAGGCUUUCGGGUUGUAAACUUCUUUUAAGAGGGAAGAGUAGAAGACGGUACCUCUUGAAUAAGCCACGGCUAACUACGUGCCAGCAGCCGCGGUAAUACGUCGGUGGCAAGCGUUGUCCGGAUUUACUGGGUGUAAAGGGCGUGCAGCCGGGAAGACAAGUCAGAUUUGAAAUCCCGCGGCUCAACCGGGGAACUGCAUUUGCAACUGUUUUUCUUGAGUACCGGAGAGGUCAGCGGAAUGCGUUGUGUAGCGGUGAAAUGCGUAGAUAUAAGGAAGAACACCGGUGGCGAAGGCAGAUGACUGGACGGCAACUGACGGUGAGGCGCGAAAGCGUGGGGAGCAAACAGGAUUAGAUACCCCAGUAGUC
rnacentral:rRNA from 1 species